rnacentral:rRNA from 1 species
UACGUAGGGACCAAGCGUUGUUCGGAUUUACUGGGUGUAAAGGGUCAGUAGGCGGUGCGGCAAGUCGGGAGUGAAAUCUCUGGGCUUAACCCAGAGGCUGCUUCCGAAACUGCUGUGCUUGAGUGUGGGAGAGGCGCGUGGAAUUGCAGGUGUAGCGGUGAAAUGCGUAGAUAUCUGCAGGAACACCCGUGGCGAAAGCGGCGCGCUGGACCACAACUGACGCUGAAUGACGAAAGCUAGGGGAGCAAACAGG